rnacentral:rRNA from 1 species
GCAUAUCAAUAAGCGGAGGAAAAGAAACUAACAAGGAUUCCCCUAGUAACGGCGAGUGAAGCGGGAAGAGCUCAAAUUUAAAAUCUGGCGGUGUAUUCCGUCCGAGUUGUAGUCUAGAGAAGCGUCAUCCGCGCCGGACCAUGUACAAGUCUCUUGGAACAGAGCGUCAUAGAGGGUGAGAAUCCCGUCCUUGACAUGGACUCCCGGUGCUUUGCGUUGCGCUCUCGACGAGUCGAGUUGUUUGGGAAUGCAGCUCAAAAUGGGUGGUAAAUUCCAUCUAAAGCUAAAUAUUGGCGAGAGACCGAUAGCGAACAAGUACCGUGAGGGAAAGAUGAAAAGCACUUUGGAGAGAGAGUUAAACAGUACGUGAAAUUGUUGAAAUGGAAACGAUUGAAGUCAGUCGCGUUCUCUGGGAUUCAGCCUUGCUUCUGCUCGGUGCAUUUCCUAGUUUACGGGCCAGCAUGGAUUUCGACCGUUGGAAAAGGGCUGGAGGAAUGUGGCACCCUCGGGUGUGUUAUAGCCUCCUGUCGCAUGCAUCGGUCGGGAUCGAGGACCUCAGUGCACGCUUCGGUUGUGCUUUGAUGCUGGCGUAAUGGCUUUAAACGACCCGUCUUGAAACACGGACCAAGGAGUCUAACAUGUCUGCGAGUAUUUGGGUGAAAAACUCGGAUGCGCAAUGAAAGUGAUAGUUGGGAACCUUUUCACGAGGGGGCACCGACGCCCGGACCAGACCUUCUGCGACGGAUCCGAGGUAGAGCAUAUAUGUUGGGACCCGAAAGAUGGUGAACUAUGCCUGCAUAGGGUGAAGCCAGAGGAAACUCUGGUGGAGGCUCGUAGCGAUUCUGACGUGCAAAUCGAUCGUCAAAUGUGGGUAUAGGGGCGAAAGACUAAUCGAACCAUCUAGUAGCUGGUUCCUGC